rnacentral:sRNA from 1 species
UUGGUGUGAAGAGUUUUUGGUUUGGGAUUUUUAUUUUAUUUUUUUUUUAGCUGGAAAGAAGAAACUAACUUGAGCUAAUGGUUUGUUAAUUUGGUUUUAGGCGGGAAAUGAUGCCCCUGCUGUCCCUGAUCUUCUCUGCCCUCUUCAUCCUCUUCGGCACUGUCAUCGUUCAGGCUUUCAGCGACUCUAGUGAUGAGCGAGAGUCAAGCCCUCCAGAUAAAGAGGAAGCCCAAGAGAAGACUGGGAAGACUGAGCCAAGCUUCACCAAAGAAAACAGCAGGUUUCUCUAACAAAACACCAGACUCACCUCCCCGGCACCUGCCCCCCAGAUGCUGUCAUCUGAUAACGCAGCACUGGAACAUAGAGUGUAGAGAAGAACUCUCAUGCACCUCCCCCCAUGUAAACUGUGGCUACAGGGAAAAGUCACUGUGACUUGUGUUUACUAAGACCCUCUAGGUGUUUAGGUGCCUUAGAUUUCAUAAUGAAGGCAGAAGGAAAGAAGCCUAUCA